rnacentral:rRNA from 1 species
CUACGGGUCGCACCAGUGAGGAAUAUUGCACAAUGGGGGGAACCCUGAUGCAGCAACGCCGCGUGGAGGAUGACGCAUUUCGGUGUGUAAACUCCUUUUAUAUGUCAAGAAAAUGACGGUAGCAUAUGAAUAAGCACCGGCUAACUCCGUGCCAGCAGCCGCGGUAAUACGGAGGGUGCAAGCGUUACUCGGGAUCACUGGGCGUAAAGGACGCGUAGGCGGGUUGGAAAGUCAGGUGUGAAAUCCUACAGCUUAACUGUAGAACUGCACUUGAAACUUCUAAUCUAGAGUAUGGGAGGGGGAGAUGGAAUUAGCGGUGUAGGGGUAAAAUCCGUAGAUACCACUAGGAAUACCUAAAGCGAAGGCGAUCUCCUGGAACAUUACUGACGCUAAGGCGUGAAAGCGUGGGGAGCAAACAGGAUUAGAUACCCUAGUAGUC